rnacentral:snoRNA from 1 species
GCCUGGGUUUGGAUUUGUGGCAGGCCUGUCCCCCUGGGCCCCUCAUGGUGUCCCAUGCUAGAGAAGACCAUAGCCCCAAACCAUUGCCUGGCCUAGUUCAUAGGCCACAGCACUGGAGUGGGUUGCCUGGUG